GCGGUGGUGCCGGCGGUGGCUCCAGUGAGCUAUGGAGAUGGUUCAACUUCCAGAGGCUUCCUCAUAAAUUUUCAGAAUUUUUGAGACACAGAUAAACUUCGGGUGAGCCGGGACAGCCUUCUUCCUCCGCCCAGCCGCCUCAGUGACCAUCGUCAAGUCUGCUACAGGAGGAGACAUUUUUCAGAAUAACCUGUCCCUUUCCUCUCAGGUUAUGAAAAGAUUACUUAAUUGUAUUAUUAUUCUCUAAAUUUGUAAUUUAGGACUCCGCAUGUGCUAGUAGUAGCAUUAAGCCUAUCAGAGACUGUAUGAAUUCAAGUUUUCAUAUUAAUAAAUGAAAAGAAAAAAUUUUUAUGA